rnacentral:rRNA from 1 species
CGCGUAGGCGGUCUCUUAAGUCAGAUGUGAAAGCCCGGGGCUCAACCCCGGAAGUGCAUUUGAAACUAAGGGACUUGAGUAUGGGAGAGGGAAGUGGAAUUCCUGGUGUAGAGGUGAAAUUCGUAGAUAUCAGGAGGAACACCGGUGGCGAAGGCGACUUCCUGGACCAAUACUGACGCUAAGGCGCGAAGGCGUGGGGAGCAAACA